AGAGUUUGAUCCUGGCUCAGAUUGAACGCUGGCGGCAUGCCUUACACAUGCAAGUCGAACGGUAACGCGGGGCAACCUGGCGACGAGUGGCGAACGGGUGAGUAAUACAUCGGAACGUGCCCAGUAGUGGGGGAUAGCCCGGCGAAAGCCGGAUUAAUACCGCAUACGACCUACGGGUGAAAGCGGGGGAUCGCAAGACCUCGCGCUAUUGGAGCGGCCGAUGUCAGAUUAGCUAGUUGGUGGGGUAAAAGCCUACCAAGGCGACGAUCUGUAGCUGGUCUGAGAGGACGACCAGCCACACUGGGACUGAGACACGGCCCAGACUCCUACGGGAGGCAGCAGUGGGGAAUUUUGGACAAUGGGGGCAACCCUGAUCCAGCCAUGCCGCGUGCGGGAAGAAGGCCUUCGGG
rnacentral:rRNA from 1 species